AAUGAGGUCCCAGGAUUGUCCCUUUCCAAUCCAAAGAGACUCUCCAGGAUAGUCAGCAACAAAGGUACCCUCCUAGUCAGCAGCAAUAUUAGCCUCUCGGCAAACAUGCCUGGAAAUAUAAGCUUGACAACUAGGUAACAUCAUAGAUAUAUCCUUCAAAAGAAGGUAAGCAUGAUCAUCAAGGAAACGACCCUGAAUCCAAGUCACCACCACAGCCGAGUCAUCUUCAAUAAUGAGAUGGUCAGCCCCUAGGAUUUGCCUGGCAUGUAGAAUCCUAACCCAAGCAGCCCGCAACUUCACCUCGAAAACCAUGGGUGUAAAGAGAUGGCUUCCCCCAGCAGCAAUCAACCUAGAGUCAUGACCAUGGAUCAUGAAGCCAACCCUACCCUAUCCAUGCCAAACGUUGCUGUUGAAGUUGACCUUCAAUAUCUCGAAGGAGGGGGAUCCCAAGUGAUGAACACCUAUCGGGUUACUACACGAACAGGAUGGGAGUCCCAAAUCUUCAAGUGUCUGGAGGUCACAUCUAUCAUCUUCGUAGAUAAGAUAUGGACACACUUCACAAUAAAUCUUGCUAAGUUCUUCUAGACUCAAACACCAGGCUGUUCCUGAAAAACCAAAUGUGAUAGGCCAUAUAUGCUGCCCAGAGAUCCCCCC
rnacentral:lncRNA from 1 species